rnacentral:rRNA from 1 species
UGGGGAAUAUUGCACAAUGGGCGAAAGCCUGAUGCAGCGACGCCGCGUGAGGGAUGACGGCCUUCGGGUUGUAAACCUCUUUCAGCAGGGACGAAGCGCAAGUGACGGUACCUGCAGAAGAAGCACCGGCUAACUACGUGCCAGCAGCCGCGGUAAUACGUAGGGUGCAAGCGUUGUCCGGAAUUACUGGGCGUAAAGAGUUCGUAGGCGGUUUGUCGCGUCGUUUGUGAAAACCAGCAGCUCAACUGCUGGCUUGCAGGCGAUACGGGCAGACUUGAGUACUGCAGGGGAGACUGGAAUUCCUGGUGUAGCGGUGAAAUGCGCAGAUAUCAGGAGGAACACCGGUGGCGAAGGCGGGUAUCUGGGCAGUAACUGACGCUGAGGAACGAAAGCGUGGGUAGCGAACAGG